CUUAUCUCUUCUCUCUUCACUUCACCAUGGCAGCUUCAGCUUCAGCUUCGUCUCUCGCUCUCUCCACCUUCAACACCAACUCCCUUCCUUUCUCCGUCUCCAGACCUUCCUCCCUCGUACCUCCUUCCGUCUCCUUCAAACUCAACUCACUCUCCAUCUUCUCUUCCUCCUCCGCUGCCAAAUGCACCUCUCCCGCCUCUCGCUUCCUCCGUAACGUCGCCGUCACGGAAGACUUCUCUGUCGAAGAAGAAGACG
rnacentral:lncRNA from 1 species